UCAACAAUUUAGCAUGUGUGCAAAAGGAACGGGGUCAGCAUAAGCUACGUCAGCCAUUUCAUUACAAUAAUGACCGCAAAAUACUUAGAUUGCAUAUAGGAAUUCAGUUUAAAAAUACAAAAAAAAGUUGUAACAUGCAUAGCCCAAGAUUAAAAACCUCUCUCACCGAGGGUUCCGUACUUUUUAAUAUUUGUUGUUAUAGCGGCAAAAGAAAUACAUCAUCUGUGAAAAUUUCAACUGACAGACAGACGGUCGGACAGCGGAGUCUUAUUAAUUGGGUCCCGUUUUACCCUUUGGGUACGCAACGCUAAAAAUGAAUUGAAAUUGAAUCGGAAUGGAAAAUUAAUUGAUUCAAAGGACUUUCCACCUGUAUAAAUCGAUUAUCGCCUUCAUUUAUGGCGUAGACAGUUUGACUGUGGUCACCAUGCGUGUGUGGUUGCUUCUCUGCCUUCUCGCCAUUGGCGUUCAGGCGUAUCACGUUGGUCCAACUGGUUCUUUGGAUGACGUAAACCCACCAACAAAUCACAGGGUAAAAAAGUUAUCCAUGGUCAGCGCUUUUUAUAGCUUAGCCUCGAUCAUAAAAAAUGCUCUACUCGUCAUAAUGAGCGGAAAGAAAAUACAUGAAGAAGGAGUGGGGUAAUAAACAGACAAGCACUCUGGUACUGCAUAAUCCCUUUGUUCACUGAUAAAAAUAAACUGUGCAAAUUAAAA